rnacentral:ncRNA from 1 species
UACCUGAUUGAUUCUGUCAGCGCGAUAUGCUCAAGUAAAAGAUUAAGCCAUGCAUGCUUUGAUUCAUAAAUGAAAUUGCGUACGGCUCAUUAGAGCAGAUAUCACCUUUCUCGGAAUCCUGAAAAGGUAUAACUGCGGAAAUUCUGGAGCUAAUACAUGCGACUAUACUCCAACGCAAGGCGGGGUGCAAUUAUUAGAACAGACCAAACGUUUUCGGACGUUGUUUGUUGACUCUGAAUACCGUCGUUUACUGUCAGUUUCGACUGACUCUAUCCGAGAAGGGUGUCUGCCCUUUCAACUAGAUGGUAAUCUAUUGGACUACCAUGGUUGUUACGGGUAACGGAGAAUUAGGGUUCGACUCCGGAGAGGGAGCCUUAGAAACGGCUACCACGUCCAAGGAAGGCAGCAGGCGCGAAACUUAUCCACUGUUGAGUAUGAGAUAGUGACUAAAAAUAUAAAGACUCAUCCUUUUGGAUGAGUUAUUUCAAUGAGUUGAAUAUAAAUUAUUCUUCGAGUAGCAAGGAGAGGGCAAGUCUGGUGCCAGCAGCCGCGGUAAUUCCAGCUCUCCUAGUGUAUCUCGUUAUUGCUGCGGUUAAAAAGCUCGUAGUUGGAUCUAGGUUACGUGCC